AUGACACGUGCCUCUGCCGGGGAACAAACGCCUGCCACCAUGGCUUGGUUUCUCCCCUUCUUUGGUGCAAACACCGCUCAACGCCAGUACAAAAGCAAACAGCCGCCAUGCGGUCACCAUUCUGUCAUGUGUUAUGCAGAGCACCGAUCGCCGUUCAGAGCAUCGAUCCGCCAUGGCGAGCACCGUAGUGAACCGCAUGACAAGAUGCGCGCCAGGGACGUGGGGAAAGUGGCCCGCCGCCGCCGGCGUCGAGCUGCGCACCGCGCCGUGCGGCAAGUUCCAGCGUUACCGCAGAUCCUGGCGCUUUGCAGGUUCAUUCAGGUUGUGGAGUGGAACAAGCAACUGCUACGGUGUCUAAGUCUGAAUAAUAUUAAACUGCUACUGCGUCAAGUCUUUUUUAACCGAAAUACUGCUUAUAAGGGUGCGUUUGUUUACAAAGUAGUUUUGCAGUUUUCAGGAAAUACUGUGGUUUCUGAAAAUACUUUGGUAUUACAUACGUUGAGGUGUUUGGGUAAAACAAAAGCAGAAGUUUCAUAA
rnacentral:rRNA from 1 species